GCCGGGGUGGCGAAACUGGUAGACGCGCCAGACUCAAAAUCUGGUGGGGGUAACCCCGUGUCGGUUCGAGCCCGACCCUCGGUACCA
rnacentral:tRNA from 1 species